UGGGGAAUAUUGCACAAUGGAGGGAACUCUGAUGCAGCAACGCCGCGUGCGGGAUGACGGCCUUCGGGUUGUAAACCGCUUUCAGCCAUGACGAAGCUUUUGUGACGGUAGUGGUAGAAGAAGCACCGGCUAACUACGUGCCAGCAGCCGCGGUGAUACGUAGGGUGCGAGCGUUGUCCGGAAUUAUUGGGCGUAAAGAGCUUGUAGGCGGUUUGUCGCGUCGAUAGUGUAAACACGCAGCUUAACUGUGUGCCUGCUGUCGAUACGGGCUGACUAGAGGAGGGUAGGGGAGAAUGGAAUUCCCGGUGGAGCGGUGGAAUGCGCAGAUAUCGGGGGGAACACCAGUGGCGAAGGCGGUUCUCUGGACCUUUCCUGACGCUGAGAAGCGAAAGCGUGGGUAGCAAACAGG
rnacentral:rRNA from 1 species